GUGCCUGUAGCUCAGCUGGAUAGAGUACCAGCCUCCGAAGCUGAAGGUCUCGGGUUCGAAUCCCGACAGGCACGCCA
rnacentral:tRNA from 1 species